rnacentral:rRNA from 1 species
UACGUAGGGUGCAAGCGUUAAUCGGAAUUACUGGGCGUAAAGCGUGCGCAGGCGGUUUUGUAAGUCUGUCGUGAAAUCCCCGGGCUCAACCUGGGAAUUGCGAUGGAGACUGCAAGGCUAGAAUCUGGCAGAGGGGGGGUAGAAUUCCACGUGUAGCAGUGAAAUGCGUAGAGAUGUGGAGGAACACCGAUGGCGAAGGCAGCCCCCUGGGUCAAGAUUGACGC